rnacentral:rRNA from 1 species
AUUGAACGCUGGCGGCAGGCUUAACACAUGCAAGUCGAGCGAGCGGCGGACGGGUGAGUAAUGUCUGGGAAACUGCCUGAUGGAGGGGGAUGACUACUGGAAACGGUAGCUACUACCGCAUACCAUCGGAUGUGCCCAGAUGGGAUUAGCUAGUCGGUGGGGUAAUGGCUCACCGAGGCGACGAUCCCUAGCUGGUCUGAGCGGAUGACGAGCCACACUGGAACGGAGACACGGUCCAGACUCCAACGGUAGGCAGCAGUGGGGAAUAUUGCACAAUGGGCGGAAGCCUGAUGCAGCCAUGCCGCGUGGGUGAAGAAGGCCUUCGGGUUUGAAAGCACUUUCAGCGAGGAGGCGUUACUCGCAGAAGAAGCACCGGCUAACUCCGUGCCAGCAGCCGCGGUAAUUC